rnacentral:rRNA from 1 species
AGCAGUCGCCGCGGUAAUACGUAUGUCACGAGCGUUAUCCGGAUUUAUUGGGCGUAAAGCGCGUCUAGGUGGUUAUGUAAGUCUGAUGUGAAAAUGCAGGGCUCAACUCUGCAUUGCGUUGGAAACUGUAUAACAAGAGUACUGGAGAGGUAAGCGGAACUACAAGUGUAGAGGUGAAAUUCGUAGAUAUUUGUAGGAAUGCCGAUGGGGAAGCCAGCUUACUGGACAGAUACUGACGCUGAAGCGCGAAAGCGUGGGUAGCAAACAGGAUUAGAUACCCCCGUAGUCCCUGUCUCUUAUACA